rnacentral:lncRNA from 1 species
UAUUAAAAUGGUGAAUUUUAUGUUACAUACAUUUUAAUGUACAUGUUAUGUACAUUUUUUCUUCCAUACAUUUUUGGAAGAAAAGAAAGAUUCUUCCAAGAUUCCUGGAGCACCUCAUCAGGCUGUGUUUUCAUUGCAGAGUUAGAGUCUUAUCCUAUUUAUAAUUGAAGAAUUUAAUACUUACCCCCAAUCACCUCCAGGUCAGGUGAGGUCAGACUGGAGGCAAAGGCUUGGCAUCUACCACACCCUCUGUCUCCUCUUCAGCUCAAUCAUAGUGGCCCCAUGGUGGAGUCCUCCCAGCUGAAACUCUUGACAGCUAGGAAAAUCCAUGCUGCACUCUGGUCUUGCUAUCCUUUUCUAAUCUUUGUAAAAAUAAACUGGGAUGAGCUUCCUUCCUUGAACCUCCUCCAGCUCACUAAGGACAGAGUGUUCACCUGACUCCUCUCCCAUCCCCUCCUAUGAGGCACUGGGGUACGCUGGGGCUGUCGCCUGGUUAGGUGACCUCUUUACAUUU